rnacentral:lncRNA from 1 species
AGCGGCAUCAAAGUGGAAGGAGGAGGAACGCCAGCCCUGAAGGAUGUCGAACUGGCUUAGGUCUUUGAAAACUACCCCACUGUCAAGCUCCCUCUGAGUUGCUUCCAGUCCUCAGGAGUGAAGGUAGAGUUAAGGGGUGUGCCUGGUGUAUCCGUGAAUGGGAGGUGAAAAGGAAAUGGAGUUGGUGGAAGAAAUGAGGAAC